AUAUAUAUAUAUAUAUGUAUAUAUAAAACUCAAACCAUGUCACUCAGAUUAUUCCAGCCACAUUGGCCUCCCUGCUAUUUUUAAGACAUUCCAGCACCUUCCUCCCUAGGUGCUUUACUGCUUUCUGCCUUUGACAUUUUCUUUCCAUUUAUCCACUUGGCUUUGUCCUUCACUUCAUUCAAGUCUUUGCUCAAAUGUCACCUUCCCUAUGAGGCCUUUUCUGACCUCUUGAUUAAAUUUGUCCACCCCCACCCACCCACUCCUUUUCACAUAGCACUUAUCCCCAACUGUCAAAUAAUGUUUCCUCAUUCAUUUAUUUGCUGUUCUUCCCUCAUCAGAUUGUAAGAUCCAUGUGUACAGUAUUUAGAAUAUUUUAGAAUGUUUUGUCUACUUCUACUUUCCCAGGACAGUGCCUGACCCCUGGCAGGUGUUCAGUUAAAGCCUGGCAAAUGGGCAAAGUGUGUGACCUCACCAGGGAACCAGAGGUGUGCACUGAUGGUUCUGAGGAGGAGUCCUUUAUGAUGGCAAAGAAGUCCAAGACAGAGCCUCAAGCUGUCACCCUGGGUAGAGUGCUGUGGCAUCACAGCUCACAGCAACCUCCAACUCCUGGACUCGAGCAAUUCUCCUGCCUCCGCCUCCCAAGUAGCUGGGACUACAGGUGCCUGCCACAACACCCGGCUAUUUUUUGGUUGCAGCCGUCAUUGUUGUCUGGCAGGCCUGGGCUGGAUUCGAAUCCGCCAGCUCAGGUGUAUGUGGCUGGCGCCUUAGCCGCUUGAGCCACAGGCGCCGAGCCAAUUCUUCUCAAUAAAAUAUCACAAGAAUGGAGAAGCAAAAAUCCAAUGUAUUCAAGACUAAUAUGAACCCAGUAGAUGAUCUAAUACAUUCUCAGAAAAAUCAGUGAAAAAUAUCAGGAAAACAGGAAAAAAUACAAUUCCUUUGCAAGAGUUGAAGCUUAACAGUCAGUGUGGAUACAGACAUCCCUGCUAUGAAGGAACCCACUAAUUUCAAGUCAAAAGGAAGAGUGAGUGCAGGAAGGAGCACAGAAGGGCGAAGGGAGAAGCGCUGGGGCUGGAGCAGUCUUGCUUGUGGCUGCCACCACAUCGAAAAUGAGGCCCAAUGAAGAGAAACAUCCAGACACCAGUGUUUAAAAGACAAAGGACUUCAUUUCAGCCAGUGGAUGGACUAGAGUGCAAAAAUGGCUGAGCUCCCCAGUGGCUUUGUCUUUUCCCUUUUAUCUCCAGCCAAGGGUUCCUUGUCCACGGAUACCUUUCUCGUUUGUCAGUUUGAAUCGAUCUGGAGAAGUCAGGUGCAGGCUUUUACAGAAGCAGAAGCAAGCAUUAGUUUCAAGGUCCCAGAAGUUAAGUUUUUACAAAUUUCUAAGAGCUGAGUCACCACAGGGGGGGACUUUGCAGGAGUGUCUUUGGGCUCCUGUGAGAAACCUUUGUUUUUGUUUUUUUUUGAGAAAGAGUCUCACUUUGUCACCCUUGGUAGAGUGCCGUGGCGUCACACAGCUCACAGCAACCUCCAACUCCAGGGCUUAGGUGAUUCUCCCGCCUCAGGCUCCCCAGUAGCUGGGACUACAGGCGCCCACCACAACACCUGGCUAUUUUUUGUUGCAGUUUGGGCGAGGCUGGAUUUGAACCCACCACCCUGGGUAUAUGGGGCCGGCACCCUACUCACUGAGCCAUAGGUGCCACUCUGAGAAGCCUUUGUUUUUUUAGACCUUAUUUUUUCCAGGUAUGCUC